UACGUAGGGGGCAAGCGUUGUCCGGAUUUAUUGGGCGUAAAGAGCUCGUAGGCGGUUCCGUAAGUCAGGUGUGAAAAAUCUGGGCUCAACCCAGUGGAGCACCUGAUACUGCGGUGACCCGAGUCCGGUAGGGGAGUGUGGAAUUCCUGGUGUAGCGGUGAAAUGCGCAGAUAUCAGGAGGAACACCGGUGGCGAAGGCGGUUCUCUGGGCAUUACCUGACGCUGAGGAGCGAAAGUGUGGGGAGCGAACUGG
rnacentral:rRNA from 1 species